rnacentral:rRNA from 1 species
UGGGGAAUAUUGCACAAUGGGCGCAAGCCUGAUGCAGCCAUGCCGCGUGUGUGAAGAAGGCCUUCGGGUGUAAAAGCACUUUCAGCGGGGAGGCGUUACCCGCAGAAGAAGCACCGGCUAACUCCGUGCCAGCAGCCGCGGUAAUACGGAGGGUGCAAGCGUUAAUCGGAAUUACUGGGCGUAAAGCGCACGCAGGCGGUCUGUCAAGUCGGAUGUGAAAUCCCGGGCUCAACCUGGGAACUGCAUUCGAAACUGGCAGGCUAGAGUCUUGUAGAGGGGGGUAGAAUUCCAGGUGUAGCGGUGAAAUGCGUAGAGAUCUGGAGGAAUACCGGUGGCGAAGGCGGCCCCCUGGACAAAGACUGACGCUCAGGUGCGAAAGCGUGGGGAGCAAACAGGAUUAGAUA